rnacentral:rRNA from 1 species
GGGGAAUAUUGCACAAUGGGCGAAAGCCUGAUGCAGCAACGCCGCGUGAGCGAUGAAGGCCUUCGGGUCGUAAAGCUCUGUCCUCAAGGAAGAUAAUGACGGUACUUGAGGAGGAAGCCCCGGCUAACUACGUGCCAGCAGCCGCGGUAAUACGUAGGGGGCUAGCGUUAUCCGGAUU